AUUGAACGCUGGCGGAAUGCUUUACACAUGCAAGUCGAACGGCAGCACGGACUUCGGUCUGGUGGCGAGUGGCGAACGGGUGAGUAAUGUAUCGGAACGUGCCCAGUCGUGGGGGAUAACGUAGUGAAAAUUACGCUAAUACCGCAUACGAUCUAUGGAUGAAAGCGGGGGAUCGCAAGACCUCGCGCGAUUGGAGCGGCCGAUAUCAGAUUAGGUAGUUGGUGGGGUAAAGGCCCACCAAGCCAACGAACUGUAGCUGGUCUGAGAGGACGACCAGCCACACUGGAACUGAGAAACGGUCCAGACUCCUACGGGAGGCAGCAGUGGGGAAUUUUGGACAACGGGCGAAAGCCUGAUCCAGCCAUUCCGCGUGCAGGAUGAAGGCCCUCGGGUUGUAAACUGCUUUUGUACAGAACGAAAAGGUUUCUACUAAUACUAGGAGCUCAUGACGGUACUGUAAGAAUAAGCACCGGCUAACUACGUGCCAGCCGCCGCAGUAA
rnacentral:rRNA from 1 species